rnacentral:siRNA from 1 species
AUUACAUGUUGUGGUUUUGGGCC